AUGUCGGCCAUCCUGAAGCAGCAGCGGCAGGCGAGCGCCUUGGCGCGUCGCAGGGUUGCAGACGAAGAAGGACCUGUGGAAGCUGAGGAGGAGCAGGCCGUUGCACGAGCCGUGGACCAUGAGUGCGCCGCGGCCGUCGUCGGCGAAGGGGCGGGGCACGGGCACCCUCUGGAUAACCCGCAGGACCGCCCGGCGCUUGUUGGUGGCGAGGUCGACGGCCUGGAGGCAGCCGCCGACGUCGUAGGUGAAGACGAGGGGCUGCCGUGGCUGGAAGGAGUGGUGCCUGCCGAUGAAGGCGGGGUCGGUGGCGAGGUUGCGCCAGGCCUUGCAGGCGGCGCGGGAGCGGAGGAGGUGCUUGGGCGGCAGGCAGGCGAGGAUCUCCGGGAUCAUGUCCUCGGGGAGGCCGCCGGAGGAGCCUCGCUCGGUCUCCCUCGUCGCCAUGGGACGGGACGGGAGGGGGCGAGGUCGGAGGGGGCGAGGUCGGAGGGGUUCGCGAACCUUCUGAGUUCUGACGGUGCCUGCGAAAAUUCCCCAGAUCCGGAUGAGCGAGCAAGAGAUGGUUGGAACCCCAGCACGUGA
rnacentral:rRNA from 1 species